GUCUACGAGUUUGAUCCUGGCUCAGAACGAACGCUGGCGGCAGGCCUAACACAUGCAAGUCGAGCGCCCCGCAAGGGGAGCGGCGGACGGGUGAGUAACGCGUGGGAACGUACCCUUUGCUACGGAAUAGCCUCGGGAAACUGGGAGUAAUACCGUAUGUGCCCUUCGGGGGAAAGAUUUAUCGGCAAAGGAUCGGCCCGCGUUGGAUUAGGUAGUUGGUGGGGUAAUGGCCUACCAAGCCGACGAUCCAUAGCUGGUUUGAGAGGAUGAUCAGCCACACUGGGACUGAGACACGGCCCAGACUCCUACGGGAGGCAGCAGUGGGGAAUCUUAGACAAUGGGCGCAAGCCUGAUCUAGCCAUGCCGCGUGAGCGAUGAAGGCCUUAGGGUUGUAAAGCUCUUUCAGUGGGGAAGAUAAUGACUGUACCCACAGAAGAAGCCCCGGCUAACUCCGUG
rnacentral:rRNA from 1 species